rnacentral:rRNA from 1 species
CGCGUAGGCGGCUGUGUAAGUCUGGAGUGAAAGUCCUGCUUUUAAGGUGGGAAUUGCUUUGGAGACUGCAUGGCUUGAGUGCGGAAGAGGCAAGUGGAAUUCCCAGUGUAGCGGUGAAAUGCGUAGAGAUUGGGAAGAACACCAGUGGCGAAGGCGACUUGCUGGGCCGUAACUGACGCUGAGGCGCGAAAGCGUGGGGAGCGAACA